rnacentral:rRNA from 1 species
GUCCACGCCCUAAACGAUGUCUACUAGUUGUCGGGUUUUAAUUAACUUGGUAACGCAGCUAACGCGUGAAGUAGACCGCCUGGGGAGUACGGUCGCAAGAUUAAAACUCAAAGGAAUUGACGGGGACCCGCACAAGCGGUGGAUGAUGUGGAUUAAUUCGAUGCAACGCGAAAAACCUUACCUACCCUUGACAUGGCAGAGAUCCCGGAGAGAUUCGGGAGUGCUCGAAAGAGAAUCUGCACACAGGUGCUGCAUGGCUGUCGU